AUUGAACGCUGGCGGAAUGCUUUACACAUGCAAGUCGAACGGCAGCACGGGGGCAGCCCUGGUGGCGAGUGGCGAACGGGUGAGUAAUACAUCGGAACGUGCCCGAUCGUGGGGGAUAACGUAGCGAAAGUUACGCUAAUACCGCAUACGAUCUGAGGAUGAAAGCGGGGGACCUUCGGGCCUCGCGCGAUCGGAGCGGCCGAUGUCAGAUUAGGUAGUUGGUGGGGUAAAGGCCUACCAAGCCGACGAUCUGUAGCUGGUCUGAGAGGACGACCAGCCACACUGGGACUGAGACACGGCCCAGACUCCUACGGGAGGCAGCAGUGGGGAAUUUUGGACAAAGGGCGCAAGCCUGAUCCAGCCAUUCCGCGUGCAGGACGAAGGCCUUCGGGUUGUAAACUGCUUUUGUACGGAACGAAAAGGCUCUGGCUAAUACCUGGGGCUCAUGACGGUACCGUAAGAAUAAGCACCGGCUAACUACGUG
rnacentral:rRNA from 1 species